rnacentral:snRNA from 1 species
AUCGCUUCUCAGCCUUUUGGCUAAGAUCAAGUGUAGUAUCUGUUCUUAUCAGUAUAAUAACUGAUACAUCCUCUAUCCAAGGACAAUAUCUUAAUUUUAAUAUAGUAAUGAAGUGUUUGAACUUACAGGACCAUCAGGCUAAAACACAUAAUUAUGGGAAGGGGUUAGCAUAC